rnacentral:lncRNA from 1 species
GGAAACAGUUGGCCAGUGAAAUAAUCUCAAAAAUUAGCAGUUUAUGACCUUUCAGACUGGGAGACUUUGAGAUCUUUCAGAAGUCUGCCCUAUGAUCACUUUUUUUAACUAUUUGAGCCAAAAUAUCUAUAAAUUAUUUGAGUAAUUAAAUAACACAGAAAACUCACACAUCACAUUGUACUGAGAUAAUUUAAAAGCAUAUUGAAGGAAAACACUAAGAUUUAUAAUAACCCUGGUAAACGAGAAAAAUUAUUUAAAGAGCGUAAGAUAAAUUCAAUUAGAACCACAGCAAAGCACUGCCCAUAGUAAAGAGAAAUAAAGAGCUUAAAUACAAAGGGAAACAAACUAUCAGAUUAUACCAGGGAAAAUUCUGGUCGUUAAGAUUAAACCUGAAUAAGAGCCAGCUUAUUCUAAACUGUAUUAACAGAAAUAUUGUAAAUCUGAAAUGGAGAAAAUUGCUCUGCUUUUCAUCAUCCUAGUGAGAGCCUAGCUAGAACCCUGACUGUAGUUUGGGCUGUCUGCUUAAGGCAGACAAAAGCAAAUUACCAAAUCCUGAAGAGAACAUUAAGAGUCAAAGGUUUAAAAAUGUGAACUAAAAGGAAAUGCUGCACAAAUUCAGCAAGGUUAGUCUAGAGAAGAGGGGUCUUACACGUAACAUGACAACAGCUCUGUAACAUGAAAGCUGGUAAAAGUGCUACAGCGAUAAAUUUUUCUCCUGUUUCACGGGGAAGAGGAAGAAGAGAAACAAACUUUGGCUGCUGAAGAGAUUUCAGAUGGAGUCUGAAAAAGAAAUUUCUAAUUCACAGUGUUUCUGUGUCUCUCAUUAGUGUCCAGGGAAGUUGUGUCACUGCUUAGACAGAAAGGGACAAAACAACUGUCAUUAACGCUCUCACUGAAAGAAGACAAGCUGGAUAAAAAGGUCCCUUUCUAGUGCUACACUUCUGAGAUUUAUUCCCUGCCUGAAAGGAAAGCUCUCCAUAAAGGAAGUUAAUAACCCUGGUCUGCCUGCCUUCCUGAGACAGGACAUCACUCAGAUGCUGGUACAAAUUCAUUGGCUAUACAUAUAUCUCUUGCAAUAUUUAUUCAUUUUCCUGCUGUCAGUAGUGACAAAUUGUUUCCUUGCAUUCUUGGGUUAGAAAUGAGCUGCUUUUUUUUUUUUCUUAUAUACCUCCCAACACCUUAGUCACAUCCAUAGCAGUUACAGAACUCAGAGCAACAGCAUUUUAUUAAAUAUGUAGCAACAAAAAUCACUGUAAAAUAUCAAGGCUAAAGAAGAAUCUUCAUGAAGCCUUCAACAAAUCCGCUCAUAUCCCAUCACAGUUUUUUUUUUAAAUUAAAAAAACAAAACCAAUGAUAACAAGCUCAACAAAACAACAAAACCAACUCCCCUAUUGUUCUAUGACUAUACAUAAAGAAUUUUAAUAGUGCAAAAAUAAAACAUGGGCAAGAAUAUUUUUCA